UUUUAUAUCCGGAUUCUUAGAGCGGACUCAGAGCUCCACGGUUCCCUACGCGGUUAGCACAUGCGCGACGGCUCUGCUCCCUCUUCCUCCACUUCCACUAGCUUCCACCGUCCGGGAAGCCGCCGCCACCGCCGCCGAGAAGUCAGGAAGUUCAAGAUGGCCGCCGCGGAGACUCUGUCGCUGCGGGAACAGCCCGAGAUGGAAGAUGCUGAUAAUUCCGAGAAGAGCGUAAAUGAAGAAAAUGGGGAAGUAUCAGAAGACCAAUCUCAAAAUAAGCACAGUCGUCACAAAAAAAAGAAGCAUAAACACAGAAGUAAACAUAAGAAACAUAAACAUUCCUCAGAAGAAGAUAAGGAUAAAAAACAUAAACAUAAGCAUAAACAUAAGAAACACAAAAGAAAAGAGGUCAUUGAUGCCUCUGACAAAGAAGGUAUGUCUCCAGCAAAAAGAACUAAACUUGAUGAUUUAGCUUUGUUGGAAGACUUGGAAAAACAGAGAGCCUUGAUUAAAGCUGAACUUGAUAAUGAGUUAAUGGAAGGGAAGGUCCAGUCUGGGAUGGGGCUCAUAUUACAAGGUUAUGAGUCUGGCUCUGAAGAAGAAGGGGAGAUUCAUGAAAAGGCAAGAAAUGGAAAUAGGUCUACUACCAGAUCAUCAAGUACAAAGGGGAAACUUGAACUUAUGGACAAUAAAAAUAGUACGAAAAAGCGAAGUAAAAGCAGAUCCAAAGAACGGACUAGACAUAGGUCUGAUAAAAAGAAAACUAAGGGAGGUGUUGAAAUAGUUAAAGAGAAGACGACUAGGAGCAAAUCAAAGGAGAGGAAAAAGUCCAAAAGUCCAUCCAAAAGAAGUAAAUCUCAAGAUCAAGCAAGGAAAUCAAAAUCCCCAACCCUUAGAAGGCGAUCUCAAGAGAAAAUUGGGAAGGCCAGAUCUCCUGCUGAUGACAAGGUUAAAACUGAGGAUAAAAGGUCAAAAGACAGGAAAAAAUCCCCAAUUAUAAAUGAAAGUAGAAGUCGUGAUCGAGGCAAAAAAUCCAGAUCCCCAGUUGAUUUAAGAGGUAAAUCCAAAGACAGAAGAUCACGAUCCAAAGAGAGAAAAUCAAAACGGUCUGAAACAGAAAAAGAAAAGAAGCCAAUUAAAUCUCCAUCUAAAGAUGCUUCUUCUGGGAAAGAAAACAGGUCACCCAGUAGAAGACCUGGUCGAAGUCCUAAAAGAAGAAGUUUGUCUCCAAAACAGCGUGAUAAGUCAAGAAGAAGUAGAUCUCCACUGGUAAAUGAUAGGAGGUCUAAACAGAGCAAAUCACCUUCCCGAACUCUGUCUCCUGGUAGAAGAGCCAAGAGCAGAUCCUUGGAAAGAAAACGAAGAGAACCAGAAAGGAGACGACUCUCUUCUCCAAGAACACGACCUCGAGAUGAUAUCCUCAGUAGACGUGAAAGAUCAAAAGAUGCCAGCCCAAUCAAUAGGUGGUCUCCAACCCGAAGAAGAGCAAGUAGAUCUCCCAUUAGAAGGCGGUCUCGUUCCCCACUCAGACGAAGUAGGUCACCCAGGAGAAGAAGCAGGUCUCCUCGGAGAAGGGACAGAGGCCGAAGGAGCAGGUCACGCUUGAGAAGGCGGUCUCGAUCACGAGGUGGUCGUAGACGUAGGAGCAGAAGCAAAGUAAAAGAAGAUAAAUUUAAAGGAAGUCUUUCUGAAGGAAUGAAAGUUGAACAAGAAUCUUCAUCUGAUGAUAACCUUGAAGACUUCGAUGUAGAGGAAGAAGAUGAAGAAGCCCUAAUAGAACAGAGAAGAAUACAGAGGCAGGCAAUUGUUCAGAAAUAUAAAUAUCUUGCUGAAGAUAGCAAUAUGUCUGUGCCAUCUGAACCCAGCAGCCCCCAGAGCAGUACCUGUACGCGGUCACCUUCUCCAGACGACAUUCUAGAAAGGGUAGCUGCUGAUGUUAAGGAGUAUGAACGGGAAAAUGUUGAUACGUUUGAGGCCUCAGUAAAAGCCAAGCAUAAUCUAAUGACAGUUGAACAGAAUAAUGGUUCAUCUCAGAAGAAGCUGUUGGCACCUGAUAUGUUUACAGAAUCUGAUGAUAUGUUUGCUGCCUAUUUUGAUAGUGCUCGUCUUCGGGCUGCUGGCAUUGGGAAAGAUUUCAAAGAAAAUCCCAACCUCAGGGAUAACUGGACAGAUGCAGAAGGCUAUUAUCGCGUGAACAUAGGUGAAGUCCUAGAUAAGCGUUACAAUGUGUAUGGUUACACUGGCCAAGGUGUAUUCAGUAAUGUUGUACGAGCCAGAGAUAAUGCAAGAGCAAACCAAGAGGUGGCUGUAAAAAUCAUCAGAAACAAUGAGCUCAUGCAAAAAACUGGCUUAAAAGAACUAGAAUUCUUGAAAAAACUUAAUGAUGCUGAUCCUGAUGACAAAUUUCAUUGUUUGCGACUCUUUAGACACUUCUAUCACAAGCAACAUCUCUGUCUAGUAUUUGAGCCUCUAAGUAUGAAUUUACGAGAGGUGUUAAAAAAAUAUGGUAAGGAUGUUGGUCUUCAUAUUAAAGCCGUGAGAUCGUAUAGUCAGCAGCUGUUCUUGGCAUUAAAACUCCUUAAAAGAUGCAAUAUCCUACAUGCAGAUAUCAAGCCAGACAAUAUCCUGGUUAAUGAAUCAAAAACUAUUUUAAAGCUCUGCGAUUUUGGGUCGGCUUCACAUGUUGCGGAUAAUGACAUAACACCUUAUCUUGUCAGUAGAUUUUAUCGUGCUCCUGAAAUCAUUAUAGGUAAAAGCUAUGACUAUGGUAUAGACAUGUGGUCUGUAGGUUGUACCUUAUAUGAACUCUACACUGGAAAAAUUUUGUUUCCUGGCAAAACCAAUAACCAUAUGUUGAAGCUCGCCAUGGAUCUCAAAGGAAAGAUGCCCAAUAAGAUGAUUCGGAAAGGCGUAUUCAAAGACCAACAUUUUGAUCAAAACCUCAACUUCAUGUAUAUAGAAGUUGAUAAAGUAACGGAGAGGGAGAAGGUUACUGUCAUGAGCACCAUUAAUCCAACCAAGGACCUGUUGGCUGACUUGAUUGGGUGCCAGCGACUUCCUGAAGACCAACGUAAAAAAGUACACCAGCUAAAGGACUUGUUGGACCAGAUCCUGAUGUUGGACCCAGCUAAACGAAUUAGCAUCAAUCAGGCCCUACAGCAUGCCUUCAUCCAGGAAAAAAUUUAAAUGAGAUGAAGAAGCUCCAAGGGUUUGAGUAAUUAAAUACAAAGACUGAAGAAAUUUCACAGCAGUUUAUUAAUGUAUAUAAACUUAUAAAUAUUUCUCCAGCAAAUUUGAGGAAGCAUGAUAUAUUUGAAUUAACACCAAGGGUGAUAUUUCUUUUAGAAAUGUUAGUUAAUCUGUUUUGUGUCUUACAUGAAAUUUCACUGUAGAACUGUUUUAAUUGCCAAGACUGCACAGAAUUACAGUGCAAAUGUAUAUGGUUGCAGUUCACAUAAAAGACAAAAGCAUCUGUUAUCAAAUGAGUAGUAAUACUGGGUGGUUGAUUUAUUUUUAGCAAACUUGGCUUCAUAUUGGUCUUCAGAUAAAAUGGCCAGCAUAAAUGCUGUUUAUAUUCACGUUUUCCUAGGUGUGUGUGUGCAGGCCACAGCAGCAUGCCCUUGGUGUAGUCAGUGCCGAAGGGGGUCUGUUCCUUCUUGAGCCUGCCUGCAGGGAUGGUCUCCUCUUUUAAAGCAGGUUGUGUACAACAUUCAGUACACUGAAGGUAAGCUAACCCAUCAACAUCACUGGUGUUUUAAGAUGUUAUUUUAUUGGAACAGUUGACAAAUGAGGGAUAUUAGCUUUGUGGCAGAAUUCCCUGCAUGUGUGCUAACUGAUCUCGUUUUCUUUUUUGGCAUCGCGACUGUGGCAUAGUUACAAUUUCUGUUCUGUUCAUCACAUUUGAAAUUUGAAGAGUGUGCGCUUGAUGGAUAGAGCGCCUUCAGUGUACUGUUUCUUAUUAACUUUAAUUUUUUAAUCAACUUGCUAUAGACUUUAUAUACAUUUUGUUAAAUACAGUUCGUAGUGACAUAGAAACAAUGCGUAGUUUUCAUUUACUAAUUACAAAUGUUGAGGCCUAAUUCUGAGAGUCCUCAUAUUUAAAAGUUAGAUAACAUAAUGAAAUUUUUAACUAUUUGUAUGUCAUUUUGAAAGUGUACUGCUUUAUGGUAAAAGUGUUUUUUCAUUUGUUCAUUGUUUUCAUUAUUUGUGAUCAUGUUGUCUUUCAAUACAGGCAUAAACCUUCCACUCUUGAACAAAGCAGCUGCUUUUUAAAAGCGAAAAAAGGAAAACGGGGCACAGGCCAUUCACCGCCUUCUCCAAGGGGUCUGAUUUGCUGAGACACCAGCUCCACCUUCUUAAAAGGCACCUAAUUACAACAAGCAUGCACGUUUUGGUGCAUUCAAGAAUGGAAAAUCAGAAUAGCAGCAUUCUUCUGGUGGGUUUUGCUCCAUUUAAAGACAUGAAAUGAACUACAGCCAGGAAGGUGAUAGAUGAUAUAAUAAGCCAACUGUGAAUCUACACCCCGUCUCUUCGUGGUUUAGACUUUACUAAAAUAAACGCAAGGUGGUUUCCGUCUUCAGGGAGAGGGGAGCCUUUUACAAAAGGCUUCACAGGUGCAGCUUUGCUACCUUAACAGAAUGGGUAGUGAUUUUCCCACCAUGAUUUACUUUAUUUUGGUGAUAAUAUGCUGCAUAUUCGAGUCUUUUGUAGUUAUUUUCACUAAUUCAAAAUAGUUAGCAUUUUGAUGCUUCUGGUGAUUUUCAUGGCUUCAUUUUAUAGAAUUAUUUAAGUAAGUUAACUUCCACUAGAGACAGUUCAUCUUAUGCCUUCAGAACUAUUACCUAUUCUUUAAAAAACAAAGUUGCUUGUUACUUGUUCUUUGUGUUUUAGGUGCAGUUCAGUGGAAGAUGAUGACAGCCAGAAGACAUGAGCUAAGGUUUCUGUCCUAUAAAAGAUUAAAACAAACAAACAGAAAAGAAUCCUCCAUUUAAUUUUUGUCUAAUUUUUUAGUUUUCAGCCUUAUAAUUUGGGUUUCGUUAAUGUUUGGCUCUUAGAGUAGUAGUGCAGUUGUGGUGUCCGUCUGUACCUGCUUGUUUGAUUGUGCUUCCUGCCUCUCCCCUCUCCUCCCCUGCAAUAAAAACAGUCAUCAUCGAGUGGUAGGAGAGACUCCUGAGUAGCGAGAUUCCACGUAAACGUAUGGCCAUCAGAAUUGGUCCCGAAGGGUUAUUGGGAAACUUAGAAACCACCAAAAUCGUGUACAUCAAAGAGCAGUCUUUAGCCUCAGGUAUCUAAGGUCCUUGGCACAUUCAAAAGAAUAGCAGCCAGUAUUUUAAGAGCGCUGCUAUUCACCUCUCUUAAUCCUCUAGUGCCCAGCUUUCCUUUUAGUCUCUUUGUUUUUACAAGUGCUCCAGUCAUGGUCUUAAAAUAGACACAAUAUUUAGAGCCACCGUCAGUUUUUCUUCUUAAGGGAAAUGAGGUCGAUCUUGGUUCCCAAAUUUAGCAUUCCUAGAUUUUUGUCUAUUUGAAGGGAAUGCUGUAAACAUUCUUUAUAUACGUACACGAUUUGAUUAGAAUUGAUAAUUUUGCUGACGCAGAAAUUUGGAGCUUUGUAAGACCUCUGUUUGAUUAUGGUCAUCUAGUGAAUUAUCUUUAACCUACAUUCGUAUUUCAUAGUAGCUGUAUAGUUUUCAAAUCAGUUCAUCUCUGAUAUAAGGUUUUUUAUUUUAGUACAAUUCACAUUGUACUAAAUCUGUAUGUGUCAGAUUUCAAGGCUCCUAAGUCUUAGGACACAACCCUUAAAAAGGUCCUACCUCUUUCUGUAGUGAGGGGGUAGGUGAGAUCCAGAAAGCACAUACAUUGUAGAGCCCGUUCUCUAGGUGGACCUUAUUCUCAGAGGUCUUAGAACUAUCAGGUUGGAAUAUCCAGGUUUUGAAAGAAAGGAGCAUCUUGUCAUAAAUUUUAAAGAUCUUCCCAGUACUCACGGUCACCCUUAAGUCCUUAUCUAGCGUCCUGUUUAUUCAAACCCAGUGUAUAUAUAACUCAUUCUCCACUUCAAAAAUAAUCUUGUGAUUUUAAAAUACUGUAAUUUCCCCCUUCUCCCCCCCCUGCCCCCCCAAUUAUGAUAACCACCUUUUUUCUCUAAAACAAAUACUCAGGGCAUUUCUACAAUACACAAAAAAAUGUAUAUGUUUUAUGGUAUGUGAUAGAGCAGAGAAGUGUAAUGUUCUCAAAUUUGUUUCAUAGUUGCAUCCCUCCUACUGUGCUUUACUUGUACAUGAUGAUCAUUUGGUAACUGGAGCUGGCUCGGUAGAAAUAAAAUCUCUGAAAUGAAACGGGAUUCACAUACCUUCAAACGUAGGCCAGGCAGUUAAGGAAUGCUCUUUUUAAAUGUCGGAGCUAGGAAAGCAGUGGGUGUUGAAACAAGUCAUUUCCUUUCUUUAGUUAUAAUGAUAUCAGUAGAAAUUGGGCUUCAUCAAGUGUUUCUUUCCUUGUAGUAUCCUAGUUCAAGCAAAUACUAUUCAACACAAGUUUUAUCAUUCUACAUGGAAUGUCUUCCUUAUGGAAAUGUUCACUACAGAUUCAUUUGUGUUUUUUUUUUUUUUUUACAUGUCAAUAAUGUACACUAAAUUGACUUAAAAUGUUUUCCAGUUAUUUAGUAGAUAUCAUCAUGGCAUCUUUAAUUUUUUUUUUUUUCUCCUUCUGUAUGUAGGGUAAGGGACUGUUCUGAAGAAUCUUUCCAUUUAGUGAUCAAGAUAUGGAAGCUGGUCUCUGAAAAUACUCAAUGUGUAUCCCAGUGACUCAUGGUAUCAUUUGAAUUGUAAUUUGGCAUUUUAAAGAUAAGCAAUGUUUCCACUUACUUGGAAAACUUAAUAAAAUAUGCCUCUUGUUACCA